rnacentral:rRNA from 1 species
CAGCCGCCGCGGGAAUACGUAGGUGGCAAGCGUUGUCCGGAAUUAUUGGGCGUAAAGGGCUCGCAGGCGGUUUCUUAAGUCUGAUGUGAAAGCCCCCGGCUCAACCGGGGAGGGUCAUUGGAAACUGGGAAACUUGAGUGCAGAAGAGGAGAGUGGAAUUCCACGUGUAGCGGUGAAAUGCGUAGAGAUGUGGAGGAACACCAGUGGCGAAGGCGACUCUCUGGUCUGUAACUAACGCUGAGGAGCGAAAGCGUGGGGAGCGAACAGGAUUAGAUACCCCCGUAGUCCCUGUCUCUUAUAC